rnacentral:rRNA from 1 species
GUAGGUGGCAAGCGUUGUCCGGAAUUAUUGGGCGUAAAGCGCGCGCAGGCGGUUCUUUAAGUCUGAUGUGAAAGCCCACGGCUCAACCGUGGAGGGUCAUUGGAAACUGGAGAACUUGAGUACAGAAGAGGAAAGCGGAAUUCCACGUGUAGCGGUGAAAUGCGUAGAGAUGUGGAGGAGCACCAGUGGCGAAGGCGGCUUUCUGGUCUGUAACUGACGCUGAGGCGCGAAAGCGUGGGGAGCAAACAGGAUUAGAUACCCUGGUAGUCCACGCCGUAAACGAUGAGUGCUAAGUGUUAGGGGGGUUUUCCGCCCCCCUUAGUGCUGCAGCUAACGCAUUAAGCACUCCGCCUGGGAGUACGGCCGCAAGGCUG